rnacentral:lncRNA from 13 species
GAUACGUUUUUCCUUACUGGAUUUCUAACUGGAUUUCCUUACUUGCUACCAUACGGGCAGCAGUACUGGCAGCGCUACUGGCCGUGGCUUCACACGAUGCGAGAUUUCGUGCGGGCUAAGCAAUCGGAAUUUGUUUGACAGAAUUAUGAAUGAGAUGGAUGAGGUGGAUGCGAUUAUUGCAACAGUGAUACAUCGUCGAUAAAAUUGCUCUUACAUUAUUUUUAGUUAGUGAAAAAUUGCGACAACGAAAUCAACAUCGCCGACGUUUAUGGAGUCGACAGUGGCUGCAAAGACGAGAGACUCACAAUAGUGUUCUUACAAUGUUAUUUGAAGAAUUUGGACCUGAAGAUCCGAGAUCUUUUCAAAAUUUUACCAGAAUGCAAGAAGAGGUUAUGGAGGAGCUAUUAAAUCUUCUCAUUCCAUAUAUUGAAAAGAAAAACACCCCUGCCAGAAAUUCCUGAUAGAUCCAAAUAAAAAAAAACGUAUCCGAAUCUGUUUGGUUCAAUAUGUGCUUUUGAAAUCGCAAUUCCGGAUACGUACAAUCAACAUUUGUACUGGAGCAUACAAAUACACAAGAUAUACGCAAAUUCGGGUAUAGUCACACUCAUAACCUAUCCGCAUUAGCAAAUAACGGCAAAUAUAAAAAGUAUCCGCAUUUAUGCGUAAUUACGAUUUCAAAUGCACAUAUUGAGCCUAACAGAAACGGAUACACGAAAUGUACGCA